AAUGGGCGCAAGCCUGAUCCAGCCAUGCCGCGUGGGUGAUGAAGGCCUUAGGGUCGUAAAGCUCUUUCGCCAGGGAUGAUAAUGACAGUACCUGGUAAAGAAACCCCGGCUAACUCCGUGCCAGCAGCCGCGGUAAUACGGAGGGGGUUAGCGUUGUUCGGAAUUACUGGGCGUAAAGCGCACGUAGGCGGACUGGAAAGUUAGGGGUGAAAUCCCGGGGCUCAACCCCGGAACUGCCUCUAAAACUAUCAGUCUAGAGUUCGAGAGAGGUGAGUGGAAUUCCGAGUGUAGAGGUGAAAUUCGUAGAUAUUCGGAGGAACACCAGUGGCGAAGGCGGCUCACUGGCUCGAUACUGACGCUGAGGUGCGAAAGUGUGGGGAGCAAACAGGAUU
rnacentral:rRNA from 1 species